rnacentral:rRNA from 1 species
GAUGAACGCUGGCGGCGUGCCUAAUACAUGCAAGUCGAGCGAACGGAUGAGAAGCUUGCUUCUCUGAUGUUAGCGGCGGACGGGUGAGUAACACGUGGAUAACCUACCUAUAAGACUUGGAUAACUUCGGGAAACCGGAGCUAAUACCGGAUAAUAUUUUGAACCGCAUGGUUCAAAAGUGAAAGACGGUCUUGCUGUCACUUAUAGAUGGAUCCGCGCUGCAUUAGCUAGUUGGUAAGGUAACGGCUUACCAAGGCAACGAUGCAUAGCCGACCUGAGAGGGUGAUCGGCCACACUGGAACUGAGACACGGUCCAGACUCCUACGGGAGGCAGCAGUAGGGAAUCUUCCGCAAUGGGCGAAAGCCUGACGGAGCAACGCCGCGUGAGUGAUGAAGGUCUUCGGAUCGUAAAACUCUGUUAUUAGGGAAGAACAUAUGUGUAAGUAACUAUGCACAUCUUGACGGUACCUAAUCAGAAAGCCACGGCUAACUACGUG